rnacentral:lncRNA from 1 species
GUUUUUCCUGCUAUGUUUUAUUAGGCAGAUAUAAAAUUAACAACACAGCAAUAAUUAUUUCCUAAACUGGUUCCAACACAAAUUUCCAAUUUGAGGUCAGAUGUAUUGCCUAAUAAAAUUUUUACAGCUGUAGUCAAAUUGUGGUAGUUAAUUCCUGGAAAAGACAAUUCUUAAUUCGCCAGAAUUAGUUUUAAGUCUUGAUUCAUCCCAUAAAGAUGAGUGUGUGUUAGUGCAGUUUAUACAAAAUGUUCAAAUAGUAAUAUCCAAUAUAAUAGCUUGCAUAAUUUCAGCUAAUUCAAUGUGAGAGGUAUUUGACCUGCUUAUACUUUCACUGAACCAUACAUCACAGCUUUAAGAUCACUGGGCCUGAUCUUUCUAAAUUACCCUUUGCGAACUGCGUUAAGUAUGGCUUAAUGCUACAUAGCUAAACACGGAAUCAUGUCAAGGAGGAGAGAAUAAUUAGAAUAUCCAUGAAGCAGGAUUCUAUUUAUACUCCAGGCAUUGGUUACUUCAAGACCUGUGCCUUAAUCACAGAUUCUGAGCCACUGCUCUGAAGUGCAAAAUCCACACACACACAUGUCCUUGCAGAAUUCAAAACUCGCCCUGCUCAGCGGCUCCGGGAGCACUUCUUCAAAAAUGCGAACAAGCAAGCAAGGAACAGUACUGCCAGCAAAUACCUACCACGCGGCCCGUGUGCCAGGCCUUCCUCAGGUGAACUUCUUCAUCCUCACAACAACACCAGCAGGCAGGAGGUUUUACUCAACUCACUUCAUAGUGUCUAACCCUUGCCAUUGCAUCAGCAAGGAUCUAGAAAAUUCUCCAGGGAUGAAAUCGACAGAUUUCUGGAAGAGGCCAACUUCUGCAAAACUCAUGCAGACCGACUUCUUGGUUUCUGAUGGGAGGAGGGAGGCUGACGAGCUCCCGGGCGGAUGGCGAGGCGCCUUUUGGAGGAGGAAGAGGGAGAGAAAGGGUCUCCAACAGCGAACCUUUGUCCUGGGAUGCAAAUGAGCCUGGGCCAAACAGAGCGCACACAAUGCCAGCUCCGUCCUCGGCGCGAACCGAUCCGUCUGCAGCGAUUUUGUUAACCCGAUGUUUCUGGCGUUCUUUCUCUUGCACAAAAUGCUUGAUGUUGACAGCUGUGAAUUUUAAACAACCAUUCUGUGUAUGUUUUUCUAAUUUUGUGUAUUCAGAUUGUUUCUCCACAUUGGGGUGGGGAUGGGGGCGGGGGGGGGGGUGAGGGUUGGAAGCCAAGAACCUUCCUUCCUUCAUUUAGAGAUUUCAUGCUUUUCCAAAGUUGGGGGCGUCCCAGCGAUGCUGACGGCUGAACAAAGUAGAACUUAAGUGUGCUCACCAGCAGCACUGGACACGUCCGGGGAGCGCAAAGGCAUGUGGGAGAUGGGAAAGCUUGGACAAGAUGACACGCUCAGGGGCUCAGAUGCACUCUGCUGGUCCCCGGGUAGGGAUGGGGGGCUGACCUUGUUUGUCCGCCCCCGUUUAUCUGUAAAAUGGGACUCCAGCAACCUGCUCAAAAGCUGGAAACAAAGACCUCCUCUAUCCAGGCCAUCAACCCAGUUUUAUUUCCCCUUCCCAGCUCCAAUUACGGCAUUCGGCAUUCGGGCAGCUGACCUGUGUCGGCUGGGAUAGCGGCGGUGCAAAGGCCCGGGUGUGCUUUUAAGCAUGAAGGGACACAGAAGAGCUCUCAGACGAAGGCCUGCAUUGACGAUACCAGGAUGGCUGCAUGAUUUUCUGAUUUACUUCUUUAUACCUUUGCUUCUUUGACAUAAAGCCGUCCACAACCCAAAACGCAAGUAAAGGAACACACACUCUGAACACACACACACACACAGAAAAGUUGCAAAGAAGGAAAUCAUAAGGCUCAUCAUGUUUGCACCCCACCCCCCACCCCGAGCUUUGAAAUCUGAGCCGGAGCUUCCUGGUAGCAAGAGUGAAAGAUGGAGGAUGACUAAUGUCAAGGGCUCACUUCCCCGGAGCGAGUGUACAUUUUUUCUGAGAGAGCAACUUUCCAAAUGCCUCAUUUUUAGGAAGUUUUAUACUCGGGGCUCCACAUAAGGGGACAAUGAGUAUAGAAGUUCAAUGUCAACUUGGAGAACAAAUGCAAUUGCAGGGUUCCCAGGGCAGAAGCAAAAAAAAAAAAAAAAAAAAAGGAAAACAAAUGGGCAUUUGUUCAUUUGUUGAGUGCCCACUGCAGUUGCAGGAGUCAAGGCCAUACUGAGGGUGGGGCAGAAGAGGCUGCAGUAGCUUGCAGCCCUAUGCUGUAGCCAGAGGGUGGAUGGCUGAACCAAACUUGUGGUUCUAACCUCGCCUAAAGAAAUGCAGCACCAGUGAGAAUGAGUGGCCUUGUGGGGUGUGACUUGAUGCAGACAGGCCUCCAGGGACCCGGUGGGGUAGAUGCCAAUGAAAUGUGCCUGCAUGACAGUUUCCUUAGCUGGGGCUCCGGAGGAACUGGAAGGCUAAUGGGGGUGGCGGUGGGGUCCUAUGGGUUACUUUGAGGACAAGUGAGCAGAUGUUGGAACUGACAGCCUGACCCGGAUAAACCUAACCUAUAAUGGUACUAGAAUCAGGGCCAUGCCUCUCCACCCAGGCAGGGCCCACAUAUGCUUAUUAUUAUUUUUUAGCAAUUGUGAAAUAUUUAUUUCUGCAGGAUAGACCUUAAAGGAACUCCACUUUCUGUCUUUUACAUUUCUGUAUUGUUGGAACUCAUAACACAUAUUACAUUCAUAAACAGAAAAGAGUGUCUAGAUUAUUUUAAGACAAUAUGUAGGUUAUUUUCAAACAGUCGGUUCCUUUCCCUUUAUCUUUUUACCACAAAUUGUGAUAAUUCAUCAAGGCUACCCCUCAGAGCUCAACGGUGCCAAAAUGUGAUGUAUAGGAACUCAUCUCACUGGAUUCCAAAUAUCCAGAAUGGUUUCGCUCAGCCACACUUGGAAAGGAGCAGGUGACAAGAAAACAAGUUUGGGAGAGACUGAAGCGGCCACAAGUGUUCUAUGGCUCCUGAGGAGCCACCCCUAUCUCACUCACAUCAAAGAACCUGCACCUCUGCAGGAUAACAGCCAGUGUGGUAGCCCAAAGCCCUUCUGGCUCCCCCACCAUAAAAAAACAAGUCUUGGUGCCCGAAUUAUUGGGUAUCCCAUGUCAGGGUGCCAGUUCAAGUCCCAGCUGCUCUGCUUCCAAUCCAGCUCCCUGCUAAUGUGCCAAAAAGCAGCAGAAGAUGGGUGCUUGGGCCCCCGCCACCCACGAGGGAGGAACCUGGUGGAAUUUAAGGCUCCUGGCUUUGACCUUGCCCAGCCCCAACUGCUGCAGCCAUCUGGGUGGUGAACAGUGCAUGGAUGGAAUCUCUCUGUCUUUCCUCCCACUCCCGUCACUCUACCUUUCAAAUCAAUACAUUUUUUAAUCUUAAAAACAUUCAUUUGGCUAAUAAUAAAAGCAGGAAAUGCAUGAAGGGAGUCCUCA